rnacentral:rRNA from 1 species
CCCAGACUCCUACGGGAGGCAGCAGUGAGGAAUAUUGGUCAAUGGCCGUAAGGCUGAACCAGCCAAGUCGCGUGAAGGAAGAAGGAUCUAUGGUUUGUAAACUUCUUUUAUAGGGGAAUAAAGGUAUCCACGUGUGGAUAUUUGCAUGUACCCUAUGAAUAAGCAUCGGCUAACUCCGUGCCAGCAGCCGCGGUAAUACGGAGGAUGCGAGCGUUAUCCGGAUUUAUUGGGUUUAAAGGGUGCGUAGGUUGUUUUUUAAGUCAGCGGUGAAAGUUUGUGGCUCAACCAUAAAAUUGCCGUUGAAACUGGAAGACUUGAGUGUGUUUGAGGUAGGCGGAAUGCGUGGUGUAGCGGUGAAAUGCAUAGAUAUAACUUAGAACUCCGAUAGCGAAGGCAGCUUACCAGACUGCGACUGACGCUGAAGCACGAGAGCGCGGGGAUCGAACAGGAUUAGAUACCCCUGUA